CAGUCGCCGCGGUAAUACGGAGGGUGCAAGCGUUAAUCGGAAUUGCUGGGCGUAAAGCGCACGCAGGCGGUCUGACAAGUCAGAUGUGAAAUCCCCGGGCUUAACCUGGGAACUGCAUUUGAAACUGUCAGGCUGGAGUCUUGUAGAGGGGGGUGGAAUUCCAGGUGUAGCGGUGAAAUGCGUAGAGAUCUGGAGGAAUACCGGUGGCGAAGGCGGCCCCCUGGACAAAGACUGACGCUCAGGUGCGAAAGCGUGGGGAGCAAACAGGAUUAGAUACCCCAGUAGUCCCUGUCUCUUAUAC
rnacentral:rRNA from 1 species